rnacentral:rRNA from 1 species
UACGUAGGGGGCAAGCGUUGUCCGGAUUUAUUGGGCGUAAAGAGCGUGUAGGCGGCUUUACAGGUCCGUUGUGAAAACUCGAGGCUCAACCUCGAGACGCCGGUGGAAACCGUAAAGCUAGAGUCCGGAAGAGGAGAGUGGAAUUCCUGGUGUAGCGGUGGAAUGCGCAGAUAUCAGGAGGAACACCGGUGGCGAAGGCGGGUCUCUGGGCCGACAUUGACGCUGAGGAGCGAAAGCGUGGGGAGCAAACAGG